rnacentral:rRNA from 1 species
GAUGAACGCUGGCGGCGUGCCUAAUACAUGCAAGUCGAGCGAACAGAUGAGGAGCUUGCUCCUCUGACGUUAGCGGCGGACGGGUGAGUAACACGUGGAUAACCUACCUAUAAGACUGGGAUAACUUCGGGAAACCGGAGCUAAUACCGGAUAAUAUAUUGAACCGCAUGGUUCAAUAGUGAAAGACGGUUUUGCCGUCACUUAUAGAUGGAUCCGCGCCGCAUUAGCUAGUUGGUAAGGUAACGGCUUACCAAGGCAACGAUGCGUAGCCGACCUGAGAGGGUGAUCGGCCACACUGGAACUGAGACACGGUCCAGACUCCGACGGGAGGCAGCAGUAGGGAAUCUUCCGCAAUGGGCGAAAGCCUGACGGAGCAACGCCGCGUGAGUGAUGAAGGUCUUCGGAUCGUAAAACUCUGUUAUUAGGGAAGAACAAAUGUGUAAGUAACUAUGCACGUCUUGACGGUACCUAAUCAGAAAGCCACGGCUAACUACGUG